GUACUGAUAAAAGGUGAAAUUAAUUUUUUAGUAUGUGGAAGUAUAAAAUAUAAAGUUUAAAUUGAAGCUAUUAAGAUAAAGGAAUGAACCAGGAUUAGAUACCCUGUUACACUUUAUUUAAAUGAUAAUUACCUGGGUACUAAGCAGUUAUUAUCUUGAAACUCAAAGGAUUUGGCGGUAACUUAGUCUAUUUAGAGGAACCUGUCCUGUAAUCGAUAGUCCACGCAAUAUUUUACUUUAUCUUGUAGAAAACAGUUUGUAUACCGUCAUUAUUAGAUAACUUUAAAAAAAUAUAGAGUUGUUGUAAUAGUCUAGCUAGUAAAUUAGAUCAAGGUGCAGCUUAUGGUAAAGUAGAGAUGGGUUACAAUAUAAUAAAUAUAAACGGAGCAAUAAAUGAAGAUUGAUUGUGAAGGUGGAUUUAAGAGUAAAAAGAUUUUAGCAAGAUCUUUUGACUUUAGCUCUAGGUUAUGUACACAUCGCCCGUCGCUCUCGUUAAUUAAAGC
rnacentral:rRNA from 1 species